UACGUAGGGACCAAGCGUUGUUCGGAUUUACUGGGCGUAAAGGGCUCGUAGGCGGUUUGUCGCGUCGGGAGUGAAAACUCAGGGCUUAACCCUGAGCCUGCUUCCGAUACGGGCAGACUAGAGGUAUGCAGGGGAGAACGGAAUUCCUGGUGUAGCGGUGAAAUGCGCAGAUAUCAGGAGGAACACCGGUGGCGAAGGCGGUUCUCUGGGCAUUACCUGACGCUGAGGAGCGAAAGUGUGAGGAGCGAACAGG
rnacentral:rRNA from 1 species